rnacentral:rRNA from 1 species
CACGCCCUAAACGAUGUCAACUAGUUGUUCGGUGAGGAGACUCAUUGAGUAACGCAGCUAACGCGUGAAGUUGACCGCCUGGGGANACGCGAAAAACCUUACCUACCCUUGACAUGCCAGGAACUUGCCAGAGAUGGCUUGGUGCCCGAAAGGGAGCCUGGACACAGGUGC